rnacentral:rRNA from 1 species
UACAGAGGGUGCGAGCGUUAAUCGGAAUUACUGGGCGUAAAGCGCACGUAGGCGGCCCGUUAAGUCGGAUGUGAAAGCCCUCGGCUCAACCGAGGAAGUGCAUCCGAAACUAGCAGGCUUGAGUAUGGAAGAGGGUCUCGGAAUUCCCGGUGUAGAGGUGAAAUGCGUAGAUAUCUGGAGGAACACCGGUGGCGAAGGCGGCAUCCUGGACCGAGAUUGACGCUGAGGCGCGAAAGCCAGGGGAGCAAACGGG